rnacentral:rRNA from 1 species
GACGAACGCUGGCGGCGUGCCUAAUACAUGCAAGUCGAACGCUGAAGGAGGAGCUUGCUUCUCUGGAUGAGUUGCGAACGGGUGAGUAACGCGUAGGUAACCUGCCUGGUAGCGGGGGAUAACUAUUGGAAACGAUAGCUAAUACCGCAUAAUAGUAGAUGUUGCAUGACAUUUGCUUAAAAGGUGCAAUUGCAUCACUACCAGAUGGACCUGCGUUGUAUUAGCUAGUUGGUGGGGUAACGGCUCACCAAGGCGACGAUACAUAGCCGACCUGAGAGGGUGAUCGGCCACACUGGGACUGAGACACGGCCCUGACUCCUACGGGAGGCAGCAGUAGGGAAUCUUCGGCAAUGGACGGAAGUCUGACCGAGCAACGCCGCGUGAGUGAAGAAGGUUUUCGGAUCGUAAAGCUCUGUUGUAAGAGAAGAACGAGUGUGAGAGUGGAAAGUUCACACUGUGACGGUAGCUUACCAGAAAGGGACGGCUAACUACGUG